rnacentral:rRNA from 1 species
CUAUAACGGUCCUAAGGUAGCGAAAUUCCUUGUCGGGUAAGUUCCGACCCGCACGAAAGGCGUAACGAUUUGGGCACUGUCUCAACAACAGACUCGGUGAAAUUGUAAUUCCGGUGAAGAUGCCGGAUACCUGCGACAGGACGGAAAGACCCCAUGGAGCUUUACUGUAGCUUGACAUUGGGUCUUGGUACUACAUGUACAGGAGAGGUGGGAGGCUUUGAAACCAGGACGCCAGUUUUGGCGGAGCCAUCCUUGGGAUACCACCCUUGUAGUACUGGGACUCUAACCAUAGGCCAUGAAUCUGGUCUUGGGACACUGUCAGGUGGGCAG